AUUGAACGCUGGCGGAAUGCUUUACACAUGCAAGUCGAACGGCAGCACGGACUUCGGUCUGGUGGCGAGUGGCGAACGGGUGAGUAAUAUAUCGGAACGUGCCCAGUCGUGGGGGAUAACGUAGUGAAAAUUACGCUAAUACCGCAUACGAUCUACGGAUGAAAGCGGGGGAUCGCAAGACCUCGCGCGAUUGGAGCGGCCGAUAUCAGAUUAGGUAGUUGGUGAGGUAAAGGCUCACCAAGCCGACGAUCUGUAGCUGGUCUGAGAGGACGACCAGCCACACUGGAACUGGGACACGGUCCAGACGCCUACGGGAGGCAGCAGUGGGGAAUUUUGGACAAUGGACGCAAGUCUGAUCCAGCCAUUCCGCGUGCAGGACGAAGGCCUUCGGGUUGUAAACUGCUUUUGUACAGAACGAGAAGGUCUCCAUUAAUACUAGGGGCUCAUGACGGUACUGUAAGAAUAAGCACCGGCUAACUACGUGCCAGCCGCCGCGGUAA
rnacentral:rRNA from 1 species